GGCCCCGUAGUGGUUCACGCCAAAGUGCAAAUUUGGAGCUACACCCCAGAAGGUGUCGGGGCCU
rnacentral:tRNA from 1 species